AGAACGAACGCUGGCGGCGCGUUUAAGCAUGCAAGUCGAGCGGCAAGGGCCUUCGGGCCCCUAGAGCGGCGGACGGGUGAGUAACACGUGGACAAUCUGCCCCCCGGCCCGGGAUAGCCCAGGGAAACCUGGAUUAAUACCGGAUGAGACGGGACCCGCGAUGGCGGGACCCGGGAAAGGCGCUGCGGCGCCGCCGGGGGAUGAGUCUGCGUCCCAUUAGCUAGACGGCGGGGUAACGGCCCACCGUGGCGACGAUGGGUAGCCGGCCUGAGAGGGUGGACGGCCACAUUGGAACUGAGACACGGUCCAGACUCCUACGGGAGGCAGCAGCUAAGAAUCUUCCGCAAUGGGCGAAAGCCUGACGGAGCCGACGCCGCGUGAACGAAGAAGGCCGUGAGGUUGUAAAGUUCUUUUCGGGAGGGGGAACAACCGUGGCAGGGAAUGGCCGCGGGAUGACGUGAAUCCCGGAAUAAGCCCCGGCUAACUACGUGCCAGCCGCAGC
rnacentral:rRNA from 1 species